rnacentral:rRNA from 1 species
GACGAACGCUGGCGGCGUGCUUAACACAUGCAAGUCGAACGAUGAAGCCGGAGCUUGCUCUGGUGAAUUAGUGGCGAACGGGUGAGUAGCACGUGAGUAACCUGCCCUUGACUCUGGGAUAACUGCUAGAAAUGGUAGCUAAUACCGGAUACGACCCUCGGAGGCAUCUCCAGGGGGUGGAAAGAAUUUCGGUCAAGGAUGGACUCGCGGCCUAUCAGCUAGUUGGUGAGGAAAUGGCUCACCAAGGCGACGACGGGUAGCCGGCCUGAGAGGGUGACCGGCCACACUGGGACUGAGACACGGCCCAGACUCCUACGGGAGGCAGCAGUGGGGAAUAUUGCACAAUGGGCGCAAGCCUGAUGCAGCAACGCCGCGUGAGGGAUGACGGCCUUCGGGUUGUAAACCUCUUUUAGUAGGGAAGAAGCGAAAGUGACGGUACCUGCAGAAAAAGCACCGGCUAACUACGUGCCAGCCGCCGCAGUAA